rnacentral:rRNA from 1 species
UACGUAGGGGGCUAGCGUUGUCCGGAAUCAUUGGGCGUAAAGCGCGUGUAGGCGGCCCGGUAAGUCCGCUGUGAAAGUCGGGGGCUCAACCCUCGAUGCCGGUGGAUACUGUCGGGCUUGAGUACGGAAGAGGCGAGUGGAAUUCCUGGUGUAGCGGUGAAAUGCGCAGAUAUCAGGAGGAACACCAAUUGCGAAGGCAGCUCGCUGGGACGUGACUGACGCUGAGACGCGAAAGCGUGGGGAGCAAACAGG